rnacentral:rRNA from 1 species
UACGGGGGGGGGCAAGCGUUGUUCGGAAUUACUGGGCGUAAAGGGCCAGUAGGCGGCCAACUAAGUCCGACGUGAAAUCCCCAGGCUUAACCUGGGAACUGCGUCGGAUACUGGAUGGCUUGAAUUCGGGAGAGGGAUGCGGAAUUCCAGGUGUAGCGGUGAAAUGCGUAGAUAUCUGGAGGAACACCGAUGGCGAAGGCAGGUCUCUGGGCAUUAACUGACGCUGAGGAGCGAAAGCAUGGGGAGCGAACAGG